UAUUAAAAAUUUUAUAUAUUUUUUACUGUUAAAAACUAACGUGAUUGAUGGAAUAAUCAGACAGUUAAAUAUGACGUGCCACGUGUACCAUAUACUGAUGCAUAGGAACUAAUUUUUAUCAGUAAAAAUGGAUAGAAUUUUUGAUA
rfam:Gossypium arboreum cultivar AKA8401 contig_21261_1, whole genome shotgun sequence.